UUGACAGGCCUAUUGGGUCAAAAGACCUAGUUUUUCUUACAUGGGCUGGGUCCAUUACAACCGAAAUCGGGCUUUGCUUUGCACUAAAACACAAUGAUCGAUUCCCAAUUUGGAAAUUUUUUGGAAUUAUAAACUGAUUGAAGAAAGAUAUACAAAGCAAUUAACAUAGAAAAGCAAAAUAAAACAAAAAAAAAAAAUGUUGUCAAAAGGGUUUAAAGUUAUGGGCUUUCAAUCAAUUUUUCCCCCUUUCUUUUUCUUUUUCCUGGUAAAAAUUUCCUCCUGUCCAGUUUUAUUUUCAAUCUUAAAAAAAUUCUUUUUUUUACUGUAAAAUAUGGGUAUUGUUUUAAUUGAUUUUAUCUCCUGUUUUUACAGCGACACUAUAAUUCGAGAGCUAGAGCAAUUGCAGCAAAUUUUUGGACACCCAACAUCGGCAAGGGUGGAGUAUUUGAUUUUUUUUUUUUUAAUUUCUUCUUUCUAUGAUCUUUGUCAGACUUUCACUGUGUAGAACGAUUCUAUUUUUAGAUAAGCAUAACUUUCUUUUUCUUAUUUGUGUUUCUUAGGCUUUAUUGUAUGUUGGUUCUGUUCUGUUUUACCCAUUUCAUUUAUUUUUAUGAUUUAAAUUGAACUACUAUGUGAAAAAGAAUAUCGAGUAUUGCCAAGUAGUAUUUUCUUUGACUAUUACCGUACAUAAUUGUCAAUCUUGUCAUUCAAUUGCUAGCUGUUAAAUUUGCUGCAAAAGAAUGAUUAUUGCAGUUUGAAUCUCUUGUUAUUAUGAGGAAGAAUGGGAGGGUGGUUGAAAAAGGGAAAUAAAAAUAAAAUGAAAUAGUUGGGUGGAAAGUGUUACCUUAUAUGGAGUUCUAGCUUGCAAUCAUCAUUUGUUUAAUUGUAAAUUUUGCAUUUUCCAACAAUUGAAUGGAGCGAGUUUUAUGGAUUUCCAUUUCAUUGGUUACAAGUAUCUUGGUCUAGACAAGUUUCGUCCAUGUUUUCUGUUUCCAAAAUGAAUUAAUAUAUAUGACAUAACAGGUUCUUGUUGCAAAUUAGGAAUUGAAUGUUUAUGUGAAAAGGAUGUAAUAAUCUGAUCUUUUCUUUGUUGCAUCCAUAUUCUGCAAAGAUCUUUUUGCCCUGUCUUUGUUCACCUCCUAGGUCUCAGUAUUUUGUCGGUUUGCUUCUGGUAGAGUUUGAUCUCCUGCUGUCCCAUUUUCCCUUUGCCCUCACUAUUCCUUCCCUUCCUCUCUAGCUUUAGAAAUUGCAUUUAGAGCCUUGGUUGUUGUAGUAGAUCACAAGCAUACUUUAACAUUAUGUUCAAGCUAUUGAAUUUUAGGUUCAAAUUUCUAGUGUUAAAGUUUCAUUAAAGUUUUGAUUUCUUAUAUAAGCCUUGUCUUACCCCCUCUUUUUUAGAGGAAGAGGGGGUUUGGGGAGAUAAAAAUAGCACUUAUAGUAAAUGUAUGUAUGUAUACGGUAUAUAUAAACAUUGUCUUAAAAAAUAUGCUAUAUACGAUAUUGGUAUCAAUCUUUUUGCC
rnacentral:lncRNA from 1 species